rnacentral:rRNA from 1 species
UACAGAGGGGGCAAGCGUUGUUCGGAAUUACUGGGCGUAAAGGGCGCGUAGGCGGCCUGUUAAGUCGAACGUGAAAUCCCCGGGCUCAACCCGGGAACUGCGUCCGAUACUGGCAGGCUUGAAUCCGGGAGAGGGAUGCGGAAUUCCAGGUGUAGCGGUGAAAUGCGUAGAUAUUAGGAGGAACACCGGUGGCGAAGGCGGCUAUCUGGACGACAACUGACGCUGAGGCGCGAAAGCGUGGGGAUCAAACAGG